rnacentral:rRNA from 1 species
CAUGCAAGUCGAACGCGAAAGCCCGCAAGGCUAGUUGCUACGCACGGGUGAGUAACACGUGGACAACCUGCUAGAGUGGGGAAUAACCUUCCGAAAGGAGGGCUAAUACCGCAUAACACCUCGGAGCACAAGUUCUGGGGUUGAAAACUCGCAGUAUGCUCGAAGAGGGGUCCGCGCCUGAUUAGCUAGUUGGUGAGGUAAUGGCUCACCAAGGCUUCGAUCAGUAGCCGUCCUGAGAGGGAGCACGGCCACACUGGAACCGAGACACGGUCCAGACUCCUACGGGAGGCAGCAGUGGGGAAUUUUUGGCAAUGGGC